CUUGUAAUAUAUCUUAUAAUUUAAUAAGAUAAGAAUGAUGACUUCAGAAACUCAAUUCCAAAAAAAAAAAAACCGAAUAUUUUUAUCUGUUGCAAAGAUAUACUAGAUAGAUAUUUUUAAAAGAUACAAAGAAAAUUAUGAUUGGUACAAAAAAGCCACGCAAACUUGGAUUUGAGGUACCUCUAUAUUUUCAAAUGAGUUAGUCCAUUUAUUCUUAGCUAUAUUCUAUUUUUGUUUUAUCCAUGAUUCUCUAUUCUUUAUUUUGAGCACUCCAUUUUUACCUAUUUUAUAUUUUCAUCAGGAUGUAUUAUUCUCAAUUCAUUAAUUUUCUCAGUUUGCCCUAAGGCUUUAAUCUGGACUUUUUGAUCAUUAUUCUCGUUAUUCUAGCCAGGGCCUUUCUAUACUACAUGUAACUUAGAACAGAAAGUCCCUGUUCCAGCACUUCAAUAAUCUCUACUCCUUAUAUUUCUGCACCCAAUUUUACUUUAUUCUUCGUUGUUUGACCUAUUUUUUUCUUUUCACCCCUUUAUUCUGCAUUUUUUGUUCAAUAUUCUCUAUUCUGAAAACCCCACCAAGCUUCAUGACAUGUGAACAAAUCUGUGUUAGUUUAUAGGAACGUGUCAAGCCGUUUUUUUAAAAAUAACUAAACUUAGUUCCCGCUUGUAGUGCUUACUUGUUUGUCGAUCUGGAAAGUGACUGCCAUUUAUCAUAUUUCCUUUUACUUCUUGAAAAUGAAUCCAAAAAAGUUAAUUUAAAAUACCAAAUACAUUUUCUGAACCUUAGCCUUCAUAAUGCAAAUAUGGAUACAAUGACAUUUUCAAUACCUUUAGUAGCAUAUUAAUCUAUUGUAAUAAAAGUUCAUAAUAUCUUAUAAAAUUUGUAGAUUUAGCUAACAAGGUCCUUAUAUUAGGAUAAAGUAACAUUUGUUUAUAGUGGAAAGUUGUUUUAACGUUAAAUAAGCUACAAUUAAAAAUUGCUUGCUAGUCCCUCUCUGUGAUUACCUUUAGAUAACUCGGUUCAUUUUCCAAUCUUUUUUUUUCUUUUUUUUUUUUAUCUUUAUUCAAUUCUUCAACAUAUAUAUACAACAGAUAUAUUACAUAUUACACAAAAAUAUCACAAGGCAAUGUUUUUAAGUAUAAUCACAUAUAUAAUCAGCACAAUAAUUAGAAAUUAAAUGUUAUGACACCUUCGGUUUC
rnacentral:lncRNA from 1 species